rnacentral:tRNA from 1 species
GCGGAGGUCCGAUAGUCUGGUCAAGUCGGCAGGCUUGAGGAUGAUUAGCAAAAAGCCUGUUCCUUAGUGGAUUCGCAGGUUCAAAUCCUGCCCUCCGCA